UCAGGAUGAACGCUAGCGGAUAGGCCUAACACAUGCAAGUCGAGGGGCAGCAUAGAGUAGCAUACUUGAUGGCGACCGGCGCACGGGUGAGUAACACGUAUGCAACCUACCUACAUCAGGGGAAUAACCCGGAGAAAUUCGGACUAAUACCGCAUAAUACAGGGAUGCCGCAUGGCAAUAUUUGUUAAAGAUUUAUCGGAUGUAGAUGGGCAUGCGUUCCAUUAGCUGGUUGGUAAGGUAACGGCUUACCAAGGCACGAUGGAUAGGGGAACUGAGAGGUUUGUCCCCCACACUGGAACUGAGACACGGACCAGACUCCUACGGGAGGCAGCAGUGAGGAAUAUUGGUCAAUGGACGAGAGUCUGAACCAGCCAAAUCGCGUGAAAGGAAGACUGCCCUACGGGUUGUAAACUUCUUUUGUACAGGAAUAAAAGACAUUACGUGUAAUGUAUUGCAUGUACUGUACGAAUAAGCAUCGGCUAACUCCGUGCCAGCCGCCGC
rnacentral:rRNA from 1 species